GACGAACGCUGGCGGCGUGCUUAACACAUGCAAGUCGUACGGUAAGGCCCUUUCGGGGGUGCACGAGUGGCGAACGGGUGAGUAACACGUGAGUAACCUGCCCACAACUUUGGGAUAACGCUAGGAAACUGGUGCUAAUACUGGAUAUGUGCUCCUGCUGCAUGGUGGGGGUUGGAAAGCUCCGGCGGUUGUGGAUGGACGCGCGGCCUAUCAGCUUGUUGGUGGGGUAGGGGCCUACAAAGGCGGGGACGGGUAGCCGGCCGGAGAGGGUGAGAGGCCACAUUGUGACUGAGAUACGGCCCAGACUCCUACGCGAGGCAGCAGUGGGGAAUAUUGCACAAUGGGCGCAAGCCUGAUGCAGCAACGCCGCGUGCGGGAUGACGGCCCUCGGGUUGUGAACCGCUCUCAGCAGGGACGAAGCUUUUUGUGAAGGUACCUGCAGAAGAAGGCACGGCUAACUACGUG
rnacentral:rRNA from 1 species